CCCCUAGAUGUUCUGGGCCGCACGCGCGCUACACUGAACAGUUCAACAAGUCUUAACCUUGGCCGAUAGGUCUGGGUAAUCUUUGAACGCUGUUCGUGAUUGGGAUAGACCUUUGCAAUUAUGGGUCUUCAACGAGGAAUUCCUAGUAAACGCAAGUCAUCAGCUUGCAUUGAUUACGUCCCUGCCCUUUGUACACACCACCCGUCUCACCUACCGAUUGAAUGGUCCGGUGAAAUCUCGGGACGGCGGCUUGGUCGCUUGCGUCCGACUGCUGAAACUUGAUUAAACCAUAUCAUUUAGAGGAAGGUGAAGUCGUAACA
rnacentral:rRNA from 1 species